rnacentral:rRNA from 1 species
UACGUAGGGUGCGAGCGUUAAUCGGAAUUACUGGGCGUAAAGCGUGCGCAGGCGGUUCGUUGUGUCUGAUGUGAAAGCCCCGGGCUCAACCUGGGAAUGGCAUUGGAAACUGGCGAGCUAGAGUGUGGCAGAGGGGGGUGGAAUUCCGCGUGUAGCAGUGAAAUGCGUAGAGAUCUGGAAGAACACCAAAGGCGAAGGCAGCAUCCUGGGAAGUUCCUGACGCUCGGGUGCGAAAGCCAGGGGAGCGAACGGG